GACGAACGCUGGCGGCGUGCUUAACACAUGCAAGUCGAACGGUGAAGCGCCUUCCUUUUUGGUGGGUGUGGAUGAGUGGCGAACGGGUGAGUAACACGUGAGUAACCUGCCCCCUUCUUCUGGAUAACCGCAUGAAAGUGUGGCUAAUACGGGAUAUUCUGGGUCUGUCGCAUGAUGGGUCUGGGAAAGAUAUUGUUUCGGUGGGGGAUGGGCUCGCGGCCUAUCAGCUUGUUGGUGGGGUGAUGGCCUACCAAGGCGGUGACGGGUAGCCGGCCUGAGAGGGUGGACGGUUACACUGGGACUGAGACACGGCCCAGACUCCUACGGGAGGCAGCAGUGGGGAAUAUUGCACAAUGGGUGCAAGCCUGAUGCAGCGACGCCGCGUGAGGGAUGGAGGCCUUCGGGUUGUGAACCUCUUUCGCCAGUGAAGCAGGCCUGCCUCGUUUGUGGGUGGGUUGACGGUAGUUGGAUAAGAAGCGCCGGCUAACUACGUG
rnacentral:rRNA from 1 species